CAAGCUAAUAAGCUGGCUACAGGCAGGCCUGCUUUGCCACCUAGUGACCUUCAGCAACCCCUCCGUGUCAGGUUCCUCGUCUUCAAAAUUGGAGCAGUAGUUCUCCUUAGGCUUGCAGUAAGGAUUGCCUCAGUGUGUGGUUGCCUUGCUGUGUCUACCGGGUGGGAAGGAAGGGCAAUGUCUGGAAAGCAGGCCACUCUUAGUCUAGCUGGACUGGCCUCUGCUGCCCUCUCCUGGGCAUGUCUGCAGAGUUGACAUGCUGUUCAGAGAAUGCAGGCUCAAGGCCUGAGUGGAGUGUCAGCAGGAGGGAGAGAAGAGGAAACAAGGCUAGGCUGGGAGUGGGAAAAUAGUAACAAAUGCACAGAUUCCUGUAAUAGAAAGUUCUUUAGAUGUUACAAAGACCAGGGCCUUAGCCCUGGGCAGUGCUGCUUCAAUGAGUACCUUAGAUGUUUACUUCUUUCUUUUUUCUUUUCUUUUCUUUUUUUUUUUUUUGCGAUGGAGUCCACAGGCUGGAGUGCAGUGGUGAUAUCUCGGCCCACUGCAACCUUUGCCUCCUGAGUUCAAGUGAUUCUCAUGCCUCAGCCUCCCGAGCAGGUUUUUUCCCAUCAGAUAACAUCCACCACAGAAAAGGCACCAACCAAGCAGAUGGAAUGACUUCGCCAAAUAAUCUUAACCAGGCUUUAUUGCUGGCACCCCAAUGCUGGCAAAGUGAUCAUAUGAAUGGAGGAGCCACAGUAGAGCUAAUGUAAGUGUUCAACGUCAUGGACUCAUCAAGUCUGAUCUAACUACUGCAUCAGUGAAAUGUCCAGCUUGCUAGCAACAAAGACUAACUCUUAGCCUGAUAUCACCAUUCGUCAAGGAAACCAUCCAGCCACUUGGUGGUGUUGAUGCAGAUAACUCCUCCCAAUAAACUUCCUGCACAUGAAUCUCCAACACAGUGUUUUUGCCAAGAACGCAACCUGUGGCAGCAGCAAACCUCUGUGGCUCAAGGAAGUAUGUCAGCUGGAUGUCCUGUCCCAUCUACUCAAGACCAAUAAACAACAC